ACACAGGGAAGGAGGUGGUCCGACACAUUGAGUGACAUAUGGACAUGUGAGGUGGCUGCCCGCUAGCAGCACCAGGCGAGGAAAUUCACCUGCGCGCGCUGGCGAAUUCCAAGCAGCCACCCGGCCCCCGAGCCCUCGGUCUAGUCCAAACCGGAACACGGCUCGGGGGCCGCUCCAU
rnacentral:sRNA from 1 species